AUUGAACGCUGGCGGCAUGCCUUACACAUGCAAGUCGAGCGGAUGACGGGAGCUUGCUCCUUGAUUCAGCGGCGGACGGGUGAGUAAUGCCUAGGAAUCUGCCUGGUAGUGGGGGACAACGUUUCGAAAGGAACGCUAAUACCGCAUACGUCCUACGGGAGAAAGCAGGGGACCUUCGGGCCUUGCGCUAUCAGAUGAGCCUAGGUCGGAUUAGCUAGUAGGUGAGGUAAUGGCUCACCUAGGCGACGAUCCGUAACUGGUCUGAGAGGAUGAUCAGUCACACUGGAACUGAGACACGGUCCAGACUCCUACGGGAGGCAGCAGUGGGGAAUAUUGGACAAUGGGCGAAAGCCUGAUCCAGCCAUGCCACGUGUGUGAAGAAGGUCUUCGGAUUGUAAAGCACUUUAAGUUGGGAGGAAGGGUUGUACGUUAAUACCGUGCAAUUUUGACGUUACCGACAGAAUAAGCACCGGCUAACUCUGUGCCAGCAGCCGCCGUAAGAC
rnacentral:rRNA from 1 species